rnacentral:lncRNA from 10 species
UUUAAGUUCUGCCAGUUUACUUUUAAGCUCUUUUGUUUAUCUUUAAUCCUUGGGUUAUAUGCUUUGAUUUAUGUGUGUUCAAUGCUUUGAGUUAACAUCAUCAUCAUCAUUAGUUUUUGCCUUGAAUUUUGUAUGGAAAUUGAAGGUCUGAGAAGUUAAAUGCCUUCUCUUUUAUCACACAAGUGGGUAUAGAAUUAACUUAAUUUUGGAAAAGUAACAGUCAUUCCUUUGACACACAACUUAGGGGUAUGUGUGAUAAAGAUUAUUUUCAUCCUAUUCCGUGUAUGAAGAAUUACCUGUGGUUGUUUUAACAUUCUUUCUUAAAUCAUGAUUCAUAUUGUCCAGGCAAAGGAUAAAGGACAGACAGCCAGAGCAACCAAAUUUUUAGCCUUGGACAAAUGCUUACCACAUAGAGAUUUUCUUCAGAUAUUAGAGAUAGAACAUGACCCCAGUGCUCCUGAUUACUUGGAAUAUGAUAUUGAAUGGCUCACUAUUCUCAGGGCUACGGAUGAUCUUAUUAAUGUGACUGGGCGCCUGUGGAAUAUGCCAGAAAAUAAUGGCCUGCAUGCAAG